AUUCUUAUGUAUUAUCUCUUUUUAUUAAAAAAUAUGUGGGGUAUCCUCGCCAUGGAGGGCUUCACGGGCGCGCACGCUUCUUCUCGCGUCAUCCUUGCUUGCGCCGCCCCUAGCCCCACCGUCGUCCUCCCCAUGAAGCUGCCGGUGAGCCGCCCCCCUCUCGUGUCGCCUCCAUGUCCGCGCAGAUAUGCCUCGCUCGCCACCCCGCCGUGUUCCUCCCCGAGACACCGUGGCCAGCCUCUAGCCCGCGCUCUUCCUCGUCACGGCGAUACCGGCUUCCCGGACCCCUUCCGGCUUGCUUCCAUGCCUUCGCUUCGGUUUGUUCUGGUGCAGGAGAGGCUACACUUCCUCUAUGAGUCAAGGUUGGCUGUCGGCAAGAGCUCCGAAGGGUUCCAGGCGCUGCAGCAAUCUACACCAGGGCCAGCUUCGCGUCCACUUCUGCACAGGCGAGUGCGGCUAAUUGUUCCAAGUUUAAGCUUCACCUCUAGUCAUGGGUAAAGAGAAGUUACACAUCAACAUUGUGGUUAAUGGCCAUGUCGACUCUGGCAAGUCUACCACCACUGGCCACCUGAUCUACAAGCUUGGAGGCAUUGACAAGCGUGUGAUCGAGAGGUUCAGGAUCUUCAGUUUGAGCUUGAGAAGGAGAAGCAAGAAAAAACAAAACUUUGACAAGUGUUGGAUAACUUGAAGAUGGAAUCAGAAACUUCAAGGGUAAAACAUUAUGAGGAAAUAGAAGUUGUAAAGAUGACAUCACAAGAAAUGCACGACCUCCUUUGUUAACUGCUAAACUUCAACCAGGGCCAGCACAAUCCAAGGCCAUAAAGUUUCUAAGCCCCCAACAGUGAAUUAUUGUAGUAUGUUUCUUCUUUGAAAAUUGGUUGUUGGUUGAACUAUGUCGGGUUGUUUUAUCAAUGGGAACAUAUCUGGUGCUCAAAGGGGUACGGUGCUCAAGUACACAUUUUAAAUCUGAGACAUCCAUCUCAUAUCGAGCGGCUGCAGUUAAUUUGAUUAAGAACCCCUCCCACCAAGUGAAAAAGGUGAAAGGGGUUCUUUGUAAAAUUGGUGCUUCUGUUAGAUGUUGGAUGGAUGUUUCAGAUUUAAAAUGUGCACGUGAGCACCGGAUACGUUUUGGUUGCUAGUUUUCACAAGUAGGACUUAGUGGCUCCAAGUUUGUUGAUUUUUGUUACUAGUAGCCUUAAGUUUUGUUGAACAAUGUUGCUUCUUGCUAGAUGUAUUGUGACCUAUGAAUUGGAAUUUGUCUGCUACAAUUUUGGUCA